CAAUACUUCGUCAGUUCAUCUGUGCAUGUUUCUAGUGUUCAUGGUAUUUCUGGUUUCCCCUGUUUCCCUGUUACUGGAUCACAUGCUUUGGGGUUCCUGUUUCUGUUGGUCAGCUCAUCUAACCCAUCAGCAUGGAUUGUGUAUUUUUGUCCCCCAUGUUUUACAGUCUUGUUGCUCCACAGGCAACUGCGUAAUGAAUGACGUAUUUGCAGACUCUGACGCUGGAGAAUCUUUCGCUAUGACAUCACCGCUGAUAUCGCUUGAGGACAUUUAUCAGAUUUCUCACAGCUCCCACUGGAGCAACAAAAGGCUUUCUUCCCCCAUCUGCUAUAAUAAAUGAAGGAUAGGCAGGGUCAGCAUGUGAAGAGCUGCUGUCAGCUGACUGGCUCAUACAUCUUCCCAAUCACCUGACUGAUUCACGCUGAUGCAGUGUGAAGAUUUGCAGGCAGCACGCGGAGCGGGAGAGACUAUCCCCAGCUUACGAGGAGAAUUGCAUUACAAAAAGCUUAAUUCAAUUCCAUCACUGAUGUGUCCUAGGACAAAGGUCCGCAGGAUAACAAGUCAUUGAUCCUCCCAAGAGCACAGAGAUGAAGCUCAUUCUUUACAAAUUUGGUCUGAGAGAUGGUGUAUUGUUUGCCAGGAGAAUACAAACUCAUCCACAAGCGCACAGUUCAUUAAAUGUGUGAAAUCCUACACUGCUUUUAAAAAAUACUAUCCGCAAGACUUACACACUGCAUAUAAAGUGGUACAUUGUGCGGUCAAUAAGUGGGUGAGUGCAUGUGUGUGAGUGCGCAUAACAUAAACAUAAUUCCCUUUGCCCUUGUUUGUCUUUUCAUCAUAUAGGCUCAUUGGUUAAAUUGUCAAGAGCCUCAGUCUCCUGAGCUAUCAAAGCAUGCUGUGCUUUUUAGGGCAAGGGCACCUUUAUCAGGAUUUGUAUUCUUCAUUGGAAGAGAUUGGCAAAAUCGCAUGACAUCACUGAGGUGCUUUUGUCCUCUACUGGUCUCCACUAACUCGACACCAUCUCAUGUGACAUGUCUAGAGUAGUACAUGAGACAGUUGUCUAUGGUGCUAGACGGUUACUGAGAAAAAGAAUGAAAUGAAACAACCAAAGGGGGGGGGGUCUUGUCUCAAUUAGCCAUUCCAAUUCAGCUAGUUCUGUGAGAAAUAGCAGAAAAAGUGCUAUUGACGAUACCUAAGUUUGAAAACGAUGAUGUAAAUUUGGUUUUUACAUUUGAAUUUGUAGUUUGACAAAGUUUUAUCUCAUAUUAAAUGAAAAAUGAAGUGAA